GAACGAACGCUGGCGGCGUGGAUUAGGCAUGCAAGUCGAACGCGAAAGAGGGAGCAAUCCCUCAAGUAGAGUGGCGAACGGGUGAGUAACGCGUGAAGAACCUGCCUUCAACAGGGGGAGUAAACACGUCCCAACGGGGUGCUAAUACCGCAUGAGACCACGGGUCCGCAUGGACCUGAGGUCAAAGGUGGCCUCUGCUUGCAAGCUACCGGUUGAAGAUGGCUUCGGCGUCCCAUUAGCUAGUUGGCGGUGUAAAAGACCACCAAGGCGACGAUGGGUAGCUGGUCUGAGAGGAUGGUCAGCCACACUGGGACUGAGAUACGG
rnacentral:rRNA from 1 species